GUUAGUGCGGUGAUGAAGCAUAUAUUGUGGACUAGAGUUUCUGAUAUUGGGCUCUUCUUCCCAUUUUAUUUUGACGACAAACCCUUGGCUGUCAGAGCACUAUACCUUUCAUCUAAUUCAUAAGUUUUUAAUACUCUGAGUUUAUUUAUUGUUUUUAAAAUUAGGUUAUAAGAGCUAAUGAUGAGAAAUACAAUUAUCUUAGCGGAUUUCAGUGAGAUUACUUACUUUUAAUUAAUGAUCUGAUUGUUACACACACUGAAGCUCUUAAUAAUUUCUUUUUAUUAAAUGGGAUGUUAAUAAUAAUUGUGGUGAUGAGGUAAAACACAUGAGGAUGUGUUUAGGGAAGUGGACAAGACGAUUAAAACCGUUUUGCCGUGAUCCCCAUUUUAAACGACUUCUCCUUCCACUGAGCUUU
rnacentral:lncRNA from 1 species